GGCACUAUGGCGGAGUGGUUAACGCGCAGCCCUGCUAAGGCUGUUCCUUCGGGAGCGUGAGUUCGAAUCUCACUGGUGUCG
rnacentral:tRNA from 1 species